CCUUUUUAUAUUCAAAAGCAAACAGAUUGGUUGGGUUUUGCUUAUAUUUCUUUAUUUUAUUUUAUUUCUACUUUUCUAAAAUUUAUUUAUUUAUUUAUUUAUUUGUUUUACUCUAAAGUAUUCUUAUUUAAAGUAUUCUUAUUUUCUGUUAACUUAGAAAGCUCUGAGGGGACGUUUGUCCCUGGAGAUUUCUGAGAAAUAUGUAGAUGUGGUACUUAGGGACAUGUUUAGUGGUCAGUGUUGAUAGAAGGUGGAUGGUUGGACUAGAUUAUCUUUGAGAUCUUUUCCAACAUUCAUGAUUCUAUGUUGAGCUCCACAAAAAGGGCUGUUUGGAGCAGCCUCAUCUUGCCUCUCAUGGGAAGAUGCCCCUCCUGAGACCUUGUAGUGGAUAUGCCAAGUAAUGGCCUGAAACAGUAAUUGAGCACCUGCUGGUAGGCAGGACCAAUCUGUGGGAGCUCAGGUGCAUGUAGUGCCCCUGAACGAAUGACCAGAUGGGGUGGAUCCUGUCUCCUCCCCUUCCCAGACCUCAUCUAUGGGUUUGCAGUGGAGUUGAAAUCAUCUAGCUGAAAUUUCCUGCCUACCUGAAGUCUUCCAAAGGUAAGUGGCUCCUUUACUUCAUUUUUGUGUCCUUGUUUGCUGCAGCCAAGUACUUUGUUACCUUGCUCUACUUUCCAUCACAUUAUGACAUUACAGCCCCUGAUGUCACAAUACUGGUACCUCUACAGUGUGCCAUGGUGCCAGAACAGUGCACAGAAGUGGAUCCAGUAUGCUCAGGUUACUGUGAGUCAACAGAGAAAUUCUUGGGUUGUUUGUAGCACUCUAGGGCAAAGGAAGCUGGCCCCAGCCUGCAUCUGUAGUCUCAAGCACAUUCUUCAGAAGGUCUCCAGUAUUAGAGCCGUACAGAUGGCAGGAAGGAAGGUUUGUGAUAGAAAUUUGGAGAACAAGACAGUAGAUACACAGUUGUGAAGAAAGAGCCCUGGGACUGACAAGACAUAAUAUUCACCUCAGGAACUUUAACUUCUCAGAGGUGAGAAAAGGUUGGGAAAAAAAGAAGAGAAAGAAGCAGUCUCUAAGGGAGAAAAGAAAGGAUUUAAAAUGUUAUUUUAAUGAAGAAAGAGAGGUAAGGAGAGGUAAGGAGAGGAAAAAAUCAGCUAUCAAAGAUGCUCAGAAAGACCAUAGUACAAAGCAGAGUGGGGGUUGUUAGAGAUGACAGAAGAAUAUUCAAGGUAGUUCUAAUGCUAAAUAGAGGACUCCAGGUUGAAGGAUGAGUGACAGAAAGCAGAACACAAGAGCAAAGCACUAACCUUGUGUAAGCACUGCUUCUGUGUAACUAAAUACUAAUCAUUGUUAAUCAUUGGUAUACACAGGAGAAGCAGAAGCCAGGCACAUACAGAGUCCAAUCUCAUGAAAUCUAUCCACAGAAGUGACCAAGCCUCCUUUCAGGUACCCUAGCCAUAGACAAACAGGGAAUGAUGCCAAAACUGGCUGGUGCCAUUGACAAAUACAAGAAAGUAUUAGAAGUUGGCACGGUGGGCAUAUUCAGCUAAGCCUGCUUUCUCUUUUCCCAGAGAAGAGUACUUUAAAAAAAGGAAAAAAAGUAGUCUUUGGAGAAAGACACUUUUAACAAGAUCUUUUCUGUUUGCUCCAUUCCCCUGUGAGGGUUCAGAGCACUGGAAUUUCUGUAGGCCUCUGUUUGAAAAUAAGCAGCUAAUGAAAAGGUAUGUGCAUGGCUUACUACCCUAAACUAGUCCUCUUAGAAUAUCCUGGGAUUUGCCAAAGCACUAAAUGACGUUGGCAUAGAACACUUUAAGGGAAAAGUCACCUUUAUUCUUUGCUUUUCAGUAUUUAGAAAUGUAGCUUCAGUUUCCUUUGUGUUUUUCGUAUAAAAGAAAUUCAUUUUGAAUAGAGAUGGGUCCAUUUCUUUAGUUUUGAUCUCAAUGGAUACCGAAGCUGGACUGCUGCGCCU
ensembl:lncRNA